GAUGAACGCUGGCGGCGUGCUUAACACAUGCAAGUCGAACGAUGAAGCCCAGCUUGCUGGGUGGAUUAGUGGCGAACGGGUGAGUAACACGUGAGUAACCUGCCCUUAACUCUGGGAUAAGCCUGGGAAACUGGGUCUAAUACCGGAUAGGAGCGCCUACCGCAUGGUGGGUGUUGGAAAGAUUUAUCGGUUUUGGAUGGACUCGCGGCCUAUCAGCUUGUUGGUGAGGUAAUGGCUCACCAAGGCGACGACGGGUAGCCGGCCUGAGAGGGUGACCGGCCACACUGGGACUGAGACACGGCCCAGACUCCUACGGGAGGCAGCAGUGGGGAAUAUUGCACAAUGGGCGAAAGCCUGAUGCAGCGACGCCGCGUGAGGGAUGACGGCCUUCGGGUUGUAAACCUCUUUCAGUAGGGAAGAAGCGAAAGUGACGGGACCUGCAGAAGAAGCACCGGCUAACUACGU
rnacentral:rRNA from 1 species